GUUGUGUUGACGCGCUGGAGGAGUCUUUAAUGUGCGCAUGCGCGCUGCGUGCAAAUUAGCUUCCUAGUUGUUUACAUUAUAUAACUUUAUCCAGCGCUACUAUCGAGGUGUGUUGGGUAUUCUAGAUGCGUUCAUAUGCUAAAUAAAAGCAGUAGCACGUUGUAAAUUAGCUGCUCGACGGUUGUGACAUGAACAUCAGGGAUAAGGAGCUAAAGAUUCGCUUUACCCCAGGUCACGUGGAGCUCGUGCAGGAGGAAGGGUACAGUCCAUCCCAGCGUGUACUGGUGACCGGUGCUACCGGUCUGCUUGGACGUGCAGUCUACAAGGAGUUCCACAACAAUGACUGGGACACGCUGGGGUGUGGAUACACUCGCGCUCGGCCUCGCUUCCUCAGCUGCAACCUGCAGGAUGAGGAGGCUGUGCGGGAGGUUAUUCAAAACUUCCAGCCCCAUGUAAUCGUACACUGUGCUGCUGAGAGAAGGCCAGAUGUGGUGGAGCAUCACACAGAAGCAGCCUUGGAACUGAAUGUACAUGCAUGUGCUACACUGGCAAAAGAAGCAGCUGGCAUCUUUCUGAUCUACAUCAGCACCGAUUAUGUGUUUGAUGGACGCAAUCCCCCAUAUGGAGAAAACGACACCCCCAACCCGUUAAACAUGUAUGGGAAAUCGAAGCUUUGGGGGGAAGGCGAGAUACUCAGACACUGUCCAGGUGCUGCAAUACUCAGGGUGCCCAUUCUGUAUGGAGAGGUAGAGAAGGUGGAGGAGAGCGCCAUCACUGUGCUGUGGGAUCGCAUUCAGGAAGGAGCCGAGAGCACAACUGUGGACCACUGCCAGCAGCGCUUUCCCACCUACACCAGCGACGUGGCACGUGUCUGCAGGAACAUGGCUGAGCGAGGGCUUCAGCAAUGGCAAAUGCUUUUCCUUUCGAUGAAUGAAGAUGUCAGAAAUGUACCACGACCCGAGUUUGCGUGGGAUCUUCCAUUAUUCUGGAAAAGAACAGAUGACUAAAUAUGAGAUGUCCUGUGCUAUUGCAGAGGCGUUUAACCUGCCCAGGAGUCACCUGAUACCGUUGACGGAGCAGCCUGCUGGAGCCGGAGCUCAGAGACCGCAGAACGCACAGCUGGAAUGUUCUCGUUUGGAGCUGCUUGGGCUGAGCGUGGACCCGACUCCAUUUAAAACAGCAAUUAGAAACUGUCUCUGGCCAUUCCUCCACGAUAAACGCUGGAGACAGACCGUCUUUCACUGAGCGACAAAGCAUACAUUCCUGAUUGGUCAGAAAAUCGCGCCAAUCUGUUUACAAGUGAAACAGAUUUGGUUGAUUAAAGUGAUAUUAACACGUACAGCAAUUCAUUUAUUAUUUUGUCCUUCUUUACAUGUUGCACUAAAGGGAAUAGUAUUGGUGCUCAAGGCAGUUGUGGAUAAUUUGUGCAUUCUUAUAGAACUGCUUGAUUAGUCUGUAUUGCAGUUACAGUGUUGUCAAUUUUGUUGUCUUCGGUGUGACAAUUUCCAGAAAAUGUGAAAAAAUAAAUAAAUAAGAGAAAAACA